rnacentral:rRNA from 1 species
AUUGAACGCUGGCGGCAUGCCUUACACAUGCAAGUCGAACGGCAGCACGGGUGCUUGCACCUGGUGGCGAGCGGCGAACGGGUGAGUAAUACAUCGGAACGUAUCUUAUCGUGGGGGAUAACGCAGCGAAAGCUGUGCUAAUACCGCAAACGCCCUGAGGGGGAAAGCGGGGGAUCGCAAGACCUCGCGCGAUUAGAGCGGGCGAUGCCUGAUUAGCUUGUUGGUGGGGUAAAAGCCCACCAAGGCGACGAUCAGUAGCUGGUCUGAGAGGACGAUCAGCCACACUGGGACUGAGACACGGCCCAGACUCCUAUGGGAGGCAGCAGUGGGGAAUUUUGGACAAUGGGGGCAACCCUGAUCCAGCAAUGCCGCGUGAGUGAAGAAGGCCUUCGGGUUGUAAAGCUCUUUUGUCAGGGAAGAAACACCGGCUCUAACACAGUCCGGGAAUGACGGUACCUGAAGAAUAAGCACCGGCUAACUACGUGCCAGCCGCCGCAGUAA